rnacentral:rRNA from 1 species
GACGAACGCUGGCGGCGUGCUUAACACAUGCAAGUCGAACGGAAAGGCCUGCUUUCCCUUGUGGAUUGCGGGUACUCGAGUGGCGAACGGGUGAGUAACACGUGAGUGAUCUGCCCCCAACUUGGGUAUAAGCCUGGGAAACUGGGUCUAAUUCCCGAUAGGACUGCAGGGUGGUGCCUGUGGUGGAAAACGAUUUUCUAGUGGUUGGGGAUGAGCUCGCGGCCUAUCAGCUUGUUGGUGGGGUAAUGGCCUACCAAGGCGGCGACGGGUAGCCGGCCUGAGAGGGUGGACGGCCACAUUGGGACUGAGAUACGGCCCAGACUCCUACGGGAGGCAGCAGUGGGGAAGAUGGCACAAUGGGCGGAAGCCUGAUGCAGCGACGCAGCGUGGGGGAUGACGGCCUUCGGGUGGUAAACUCCUUUCGACCGCGAGGAAGCCACCUGGUUGGAAGGGUGGUGACGGUAGUGGUAGAAGAAGCACCGGCUAACUACGUG